CUGUGCGUCGCUCUGCCACGCCUCGAGAUACCGGUCAGAGCGCACCAGGUGAGGAUGAUCUGGUAAUCAACCAGUCCGGAGAGUCACGCAGUGCGCAAGCAGAGAUCAAGACUUUGUGCAAACGGAAGCUUGUUUCAAAAAAAAAAAAAAAAGAAAAAAAGAGGAAGGAGACGGUUUUCACCUGAUCGAUUGGUCAGCAUGGCAUCAAAACUUCGGAAAUAAAAGUAAAGAAGAAACGAGCAAAAAGUGUGAUCCAUGAAUGGAAUCCUGUCUAAUCCUCCUGGAACUGGCUGCUCUUUACAAUUUUGCACAUUGAAACCUUAAACAGUGAGGAACCACUUGACUUGUUUGAUAGCUUGAGUUAGUAGUUACUGACAAUACUGUAUGUCAGUGAUUAAGGUCGUUUCAUGUGUGUGAAAAUUCUCAUCCUUCUUAAGCAAAUAAACUCUUCACACUGUCACAAAGCUGAAAA